rnacentral:misc_RNA from 1 species
CUGCCUGCCGCCAGGCCCUCCUCUGCCCGCCGCCCUCCUCUGCCCGCCUCCCCUCCUCUGCCCGCCGCCCAGGCGCCCACCUCCAGCCGUCGAGGCCUGUGCCGCCCUCCUCUGGCCGCCGCCCAGGCGUCCACCUCUGGCCACCGCCCUCCUCCAGCCGUCGAGGCCUCUGGUGGUGAGUCCUGUGCCGCCCCUCUGUACGCCCUGACAAGUCUCAGCAACCUGCGCCGCCCUCACAAGUCACAGCAAGCUCUAGGGAUAUGGAAGAUGCAUCUGCAGAUCGACCACAAGGGGAGUCAGGAAGCCAGCAGCCAUAUGAUCCAGCUAAAGAUCCUAAGAGAAAGGCAAAAUCGAAGGAUCCGGCAUGGGACUAUUGUUAUUGGCCAGCAGCCACAUGAUCCAGCCAUGUGGAUGAUGCAAUCGGUGCUUCUAGUUCACUUCAAGGUCGCAACUUCCCAAGAAGAGCCCGAUAUGAGUCUGUUUAUUCAAGGCAUUGUCAAGUUGCUGCUACACAGGAGGAGAGAGUUAUGGAAGAGGAAGAGAAGGCAACGAGGGCAAUGA